rnacentral:rRNA from 1 species
AACGAACGCUGGCGGCAGGCUUAACACAUGCAAGUCGAACGCCCCGCAAGGGGAGUGGCAGACGGGUGAGUAACGCGUGGGAAUCUACCCAUCCCUACGGAACAACUCCGGGAAACUGGAGCUAAUACCGUAUACGCCCUUAGGGGGAAAGAUUUAUCGGGGAUGGAUGAGCCCGCGUUGGAUUAGCUAGUUGGUGGGGUAAAGGCCUACCAAGGCGACGAUCCAUAGCUGGUCUGAGAGGAUGAUCAGCCACAUUGGGACUGAGACACGGCCCAAACUCCUACGGGAGGCAGCAGUGGGGAAUAUUGGACAAUGGGCGCAAGCCUGAUCCAGCCAUGCCGCGUGAGUGAUGAAGGCCUUAGGGUUGUAAAGCUCUUUCACCGAUGAAGUUAGUGACGGUAGUCGGAGAAGAAGCCCCGGCUAACUUCGUGCCAGCCGCCGCGGUAAGAC